rnacentral:rRNA from 1 species
UACGUAGGUGGCAAGCGUUGUCCGGAAUUAUUGGGCGUAAAGCGCGCGCAGGUGGUUUCUUAAGUCUGAUGUGAAAGCCCACGGCUCAACCGUGGAGGUCAUUGGAAACUGGGGAACUUGAGUGCAGGAGAGAAGAGUGGAAUUCCACGUGUAGCGGUGAAAUGCGUAGAGAUGUGGAGGAACACCAGUGGCGAAGGCGACUCUUGGCCUGUAACUGACACUGAGGCGCGAAGCGUGGGAGCAACAG